rnacentral:rRNA from 1 species
CAGUCGCCACGGGAAUACGAGGGGGGCAAGCGUUGUUCGAAAUUAUUGGGCGUAAAGGGCGCGUAGGCGGUUUGGCAAGUUUGGUGUGAAAUCUUCGGGCUCAACUCGAAGUCUGCACCGAAAACUGCCGGGCUUGAGUAUGGGAGAGGUGAGUGGAAUUUCCGGUGUAGCGGUGAAAUGCGUAGAUAUCGGAAGGAACACCUGUGGCGAAAGCGGCUCACUGGACCAUUACUGACGCUGAGGCGCGAAAGCUAGGGGAGCAAACAGGAUUAGAUACCCCAGUAGUCCCUGUCUCUUAUAC